rnacentral:piRNA from 1 species
UCUUGUGUAGAAGUAUUAAAAAAGGAUGC